AUCCCAUGAUGAGGACAGGCAUGAAUGUACUCCUAGAGACGUUCCCAUACUUCGGGAAUCAUCUCAUCAGCAUGCUAUUGGAAGCUAGAAAUCAUUCCACAAAAGGGC
rnacentral:snoRNA from 1 species